UACGGGGGGAGCAAGCGUUGUUCGGAAUUACUGGGCGUAAAGGGCGCGUAGGCGGUCAGGUAAGUGAGAUGUGAAAUCCUCCGGCUCACCCGGAGAAAUGCAUCUCAUACUGCUUGACUAGAGUUCGGGAGAGGAAUCGGGAAUUCCAGGUGUAGCGGUGAAAUGCGUAGAUAUCUGGAGGAACACCGGUGGCGAAGGCGCGAUUCUGGCCCGAUACUGACGCUGAGGCGCGAAAGCCAGGGGAGCAAACGGG
rnacentral:rRNA from 1 species